rnacentral:rRNA from 1 species
GGGUGACUGCGUACCUUUUGUAUAAUGGGUCAGCGACUUAUAUUCUGUAGCAAGGUUAACCGAAUAGGGGAGCCGUAGGGAAACCGAGUCUUAACUGGGCGAAUGAGUUGCAGGGUAUAGACCCGAAACCCGGUGAUCUAGCCAUGGGCAGGUUGAAGGUUGGGUAACACUAACUGGAGGACCGAACCGACUAAUGUUGAAAAAUUAGCGGAUGACUUGUGGCUGGGGGUGAAAGGCCAAUCAAACCGGGAGAUAGCUGGUUCUCCCCGAAAGCUAUUUAGGUAGCGCCUCGUGAACUCAUCUUCGGGGGUAGAGCACUGUUUCGGCUAGGGGGUCAUCCCGACUUACCAACCCGAUGCAAACUACGAAUACCGAAGAAUGUUAUCACGGGAGACACACGGCGGGUGCUAACGUUCGUCGUGAAGAGGGAAACAACCCAGACCGCCAGCUAAGGUCCCAAAGUCAUGGUUAAGUGGGAAACGAAGUGGGAAGGCUCAGACAGCCAGGAUGUUGGCUUAGAAGCAGCCAUCAUUUAAAGAAAGCGUAAUAGCUCACUGGUCGAGUCGGCCUGCGCGGAAGAUGUAACGGGGCUAAACCAUGCACCGAAGCUGCGGCAGCGACAUGUAAAUGUUGUUGGGUAGGGGAGCGUUCUGUAAGCCUGUGAAGGUGUGCUGCGAGGCAUGCUGGAGGUAUCAGAAGUGCGAAUGCUGACAUAAGUAACGAUAAUGCGGGUGAAAAACCCGCACGCCGGAAGACCAAGGGUUCCUGUCCAACGUUAAUCGGGGCAGGGUGAGUCGACCCCUAAGGCGAGGCAGAAAUGCGUAGUCGAUGGGAAACAGGUUAAUAUUCCUGUACUGGUGAUAAUUGCGAUGGGGGGACGGAGAAGGCUAGGCUGGCCGGGCGACGGUUGUCCCGGUUUAAGGAUGUAGGUGGGCGAAUUAGGCAAAUCCGGUUCGCUAUACACUGAGGUCUGAUGACGAGUCACUACGGUGGCGAAGUAGCUCAUGCCCCGCUUCCAGGAAAAGCCUCUAAGCUCUAGAUUAUCAUUAAUCGUACCCCAAACCGACACAGGUGGUCAGGUAGAGAAUACUCAGGCGCUUGAGAGAACUCGGGUGAAGGAACUAGGCAAAAUGGUGCCGUAACUUCGGGAGAAGGCACGCUGGCAUUAGGUGAAGUGGUUUACCCAUGGAGCUGAAGCCAGUCGCAGAUACCAGCUGGCUGCAACUGUUUAUUAAAAACACAGCACUGUGCAAACACGAAAGUGGACGUAUACGGUGUGACGCCUGCCCGGUGCUGGAAGGUUAAUUGAUGGGGUUAUCCGUAAGGAGAAGCUCUUGAUCGAAGCCCCAGUAAACGGCGGCCGUAACUAUAACGGUCCUAAGGUAGCGAAAUUCCUUGUCGGGUAAGUUCCGACCUGCACGAAUGGCGUAAUGAUGGCCAGGCUGUCUCCACCCGAGACUCAGUGAAAUUGAACUCGCUGUGAAGAUGCAGUGUACCCGCGGCAAGACGGAAAGACCCCGUGAACCUUUACUAUAGCUUGACACUGAACAUUGAGCCUUGAUGUGUAGGAUAGGUGGGAGGCUUUGAAGUGUGGACGCCAGUCUGCAUGGAGCCAACCUUGAAAUACCACCCUUUAAUGUUUGAUGUUCUAACGUAGCCCCAUAAUCUGGGGUGCGGACAGUGUCUGGUGGGUAGUUUGACUGGGGCGGUCUCCUCCCAAAGCGUAACGGAGGAGCACGAAGGUUGGCUAAGCAUGGUCGGACAUCAUGCGGUUAGUGCAAAGGCAUAAGCCAGCUUGACUGCGAGAGUGACGGCUCGAGCAGGUACGAAAGUAGGUCUUAGUGAUCCGGUGGUUCUGAAUGGAAGGGCCAUCGCUCAACGGAUAAAAGGUACUCCGGGGAUAACAGGCUGAUACCGCCCAAGAGUUCAUAUCGACGGCGGUGUUUGGCACCUCGAUGUCGGCUCAUCACAUCCUGGGGCUGAAGUAGGUCCCAAGGGUAUGGCUGUUCGCCAUUUAAAGUGGUACGCGAGCUGGGUUUAGAACGUCGUGAGACAGUUCGGUCCCUAUCUGCCGUGGGCGUUGGAAGAUUGAAAGGGGCUGCUCCUAGUACGAGAGGACCGGAGUGGACGCACCGCUGGUGUUCGGGUUGUCAUGCCAAUGGCACUGCCCGGUAGCUAAGUGCGGAAGAGAUAACCGCUGAAAGCAUCUAAGCGGGAAACUUGCCUUGAGAUGAGUCUUCCCUGACUCUUUAAGGGUCCUAAAGGAACGUUUAAGACGAAGACGUUGAUAGGCUGGGUGUGUAAGCGUAGCGAUACGUUGAGCUAACCAGUACUAAUGAACCGUGAGGCUUAACCUG